AUGGUAUUGGGAGAUUUAAACGAAAUCAUGUAUGCUUUUGAAAAGGAGGGAGGGAAUACUCGCCCAGAGAGAUACAUGCAAGCAUUCAGAGAUGCGGUAUAAGACUGUAACCUCUUUGAUUUUGGAUAUGUUGGUGAUCGGUAUACUUGGCAGCGAGGAAAGAUUCGUGAACGACUGGAUCGAGUUCUCACAAACGAUAAGUGGAACGAUAAAUUUGCAAGUGCCGUCCUUGAGAAUUUAGAAUACAGCUGGUCUGACCAUAGACCGUUGUUAAUGUACUGGGAUGAGGAAGUCAAUGUAGAGAGACAUGGACCAGCAGUGCUUCGGUUUGAUGCUCGGUGGCUAAAAGAAAAGCACUUCCAUGAUGUUGUACAAGCGGCUUGGGCUGGAGCUGCACCAAAUAUUGAGUCUGGUAGCUUGGCAGACAGAUUUUUUUUCGAAACGGAGGCAAAAGAUUUGCCUCAUCGAUUAAUUAAGAAGAAGAGAAUUGCCCAGUUAAUUAACGGAAAACUGGGCGAAAACCGAUACAUAUAG
rnacentral:rRNA from 1 species